GGAUGCGGGUGCUUAUACAUGCAAGUCGAGCGAAUGGAUUAAGAAGCUUGCUCUUAUGAAGUUAGCGGCGGACGGGUGAGUAACACGUGGGUAACCUGCCCAUAAGACUGGGAUAACUCCGGGAAACCGGGGCUAAUACCGGAUAACAUUUUGAACCGCAUGGUUCGAAAUUGAAAGGCGGCUUCGGCUGUCACUUAUGGAUGGACCCGCGUCGCAUUAGCUAGUUGGUGAGGUAACGGCUCACCAAGGCAACGAUGCGUAGCCGACCUGAGAGGGUGAUCGGCCACACUGGGACUGAGACACGGCCCAGACUCCUACGGGAGGCAGCAGUAGGGAAUCUUCCGCAAUGGACGAAAGUCUGACGGAGCAACGCCGCGUGAGUGAUGAAGGCUUUCGGGUCGUAAAACUCUGUUGUUAGGGAAGAACAAGUGCUAGUUGAAUAAGCUGGCACCUUGACGGUACCUAACCAGAAAGCCACGGCUAACUACGUGCCAGAACGAAAAAAUUUCCAA
rnacentral:rRNA from 1 species